UACAGAGGUCCCGAGCGUUGUUCGGAUUCAUUGGGGCGUAAAGGGUGCGUAGGCGGCUUCCUAAGUUUGAUGUGAAAUCCUGGGGCUCAACCCUGGAACUGCAUUGAAUACUGGGAGGCUAGAGUACUGGAGAGGAAACUGGAAUUUACGGUGUAGCAGUGAAAUGCGUAGAGAUCGUAAGGAAGACCAGUGGCGAAGGCGGCUCACUGGCCCGAUACUG
rnacentral:rRNA from 1 species